CCUGGCUCAGAUUGAACGCUGGCGGCAGGCUUAACACAUGCAAGUCGAACGGUAACAGGGAUUAGCUUGCUAAUUUGCUGACGAGUGGCGGACGGGUGAGUAAUGCUUGGGAAUCUGGCUUAUGGAGGGGGAUAACUACGGGAAACUGUAGCUAAUACCGCGUAAUAUCGGAAGAUUAAAGGGUGGGACCUUCGGGCCACCUGCCAUGAGAUGAGCCCAAGUGGGAUUAGGUAGUUGGUUAGGUAAAGGCUGACCAAGCCGACGAUCUCUAGCUGGUCUGAGAGGAUGACCAGCCACACUGGAACUGAGACACGGUCCAGACUCCUACGG
rnacentral:rRNA from 1 species